CCCCCAGCUGUUUGGGGACUACAACUCCCAUCAUCCCUAGCUAACGGGAUCAGUAGUCAGGGAUGAUGGGAACUGUAGUCCCAAAACAGCUGGAGG